rnacentral:lncRNA from 1 species
GGAAUAUUUAUGAGGUUAAAGUCCGUAGGCUUGAGCAAAAGACCUAACCUUUCCAUGGGAGGUGGGGAUGGGGUGCGUUUUGAUUUCUUUGAAGAUAAAUGAUCAUAAUGAAAUUUUCAGGGGUUUAGGAAAAAGUGUUCAGUGAGACACAUCAAGCAUUCCUCCUUAAAACCUCUGGAGGACAAAGCUGUAAGGGCACAGGGAUUUACUGUGACCAUUUAUCUCACAUAAGGCCCCCAUAGUCCUACUCCCCACCUCUGGGGCACUUUGUACUCCUCCUGUACUCUCUGUGGCUUCCUUGUCUUAUUAGUCCCCAUCACACUCUGAAAAGGUAGGGAAGAUCCUAGUUAAGGGCAAUGAUGUAAGAGGUCAAGGAAGGGAAAGGAAUUUGAGUAAGGAAAAAGGAGAAAGACCGAGAGAAUGAAUACAUGUUAAGACAGCCCCCAGAGGAGUCACUGGACAUUUAGUAUUUUAAUGGGUCACCUUCUCUUUAUGUUAAGGGGUGACUGAGGCCCAGGCUCGGAUUCUACAAGGAUUAUCCUGUGCUGUUCUAGACAAAAAACCAGAACAUAUCUGGGGUAAGAUGGAAUUGGGGGAAGGGCCUCUGCAGGUGGCAUGAAGAUGAAGAUGAUAUUUAUUUGUUACCUUUCUUGGCUCUGAACAGUGUGCUAUCCCAACGUCUCCGUGAAUCCUAAAUGAAGUUUCAUGCUUGAAAGUGGGCUGUCUGAACACGAAUGAGGAGCACCGUUUACACAGCCCCAUCCCUGCUGCUUUCUCUAAUAGUUCUGAAAUGGCAGGAAGGAGGUAGGUAGGUAGAUAGAGAGCUGUCAUAUAUGUAUGUGUACACACACACACACACACACACACAAUUCCUAUGUAUGGAAUUAUAUUUUUAUCUACUCAAAGAAGAAUAAUUGUGUGGAACUCAGAGCAGUUGGGACAUGUCAUAUGUGAUCUGUUUUUCUGUUUAUUUUUUCUGUUGAGUUUUUUAUAUGAAAUCUGAAUGGCCCCUUCUUUGUGUGGGGGGUUGGAGAUGGGGAGGGCAUUGACAGAAGGGUUAGAGAUCAAGCUUUAGAGGGACUUGGAACAGAUGGGCACAUCACCUCUCUGGGGCCCCUGAAUUUGAGAGCUCUGCCGCCAGCCUUUUCCCACCAAGGGAGCUCAUGGCUGUCUUCUACUCUGUUCUCCAGUUUAUCCCCAGGGGGCAAGCAGCCCCACCUUGAGGGCUCCCUACCUAGGCUCAUGUGAAAAGCAAAGGACUAUGUGAUGAGGACGAAUGGAUACAGUGUUUGACCUGUUAGGGUGAAGCAUCUGAAUUGAGAAGUUCCUGACUUUCCUCAUUGCCAACUAGUCAUGCUCCUCUGCUUCCCUCUUCCUGAAUAAACCAAAGAAAAUAAAAGGGACUGCAAAUGCCCAUGACUUAGAUGUGUUAGAGUCCAGCUUCUGUUUCCCCCAUUUGGUCCUGAUUUUCAAAGUGAAGGGGAGACGGGACUGAGUGGUGUGGAGGUGAGCAACCCGUGUGCUUAGCCCAGCAGCUCUCUGGUUUGUCAUUGUGGUAUCCCUCUCUGGACCACAGUUUCCUCAUCUGGAAAAUGAAGAUCUAAGGCUAGGUGAUUUUGAAGUCCCUUUCAGCUCUAAAAUAUUAUUUUACAGUUGUUGGAUUUAUGUAGGAGAACGGCAUUGCACUCUAUCCCUUGCUUUAGCCUUUUGAAUGAAAGUGAGAUGUCUCAUCAGCUCAGAUAGAGCCAGCUCAAGCCCAGUG